UAUCUGGUUGAUCCUGCCAGUAGUCAUAUGCUUGUCUCAAAGAUUAAGCCAUGCAUGUCUAAGUACAAACCUUAAUACGGUGAAACCGCGAAUGGCUCAUUAAAUCAGCUAUGGUUCCUUAGAUCGUCUCAUCCUACUCGGAUAACUGUGGAAAAUCUAGAGCUAAUACGUGCUUACAAGCCCUGACCUCACGGGAGGGGCGCAUUUAUUAGAUCAAAACCAAUCGGGGCUUGCCCCGUCUGCUUGGUGACUCUGGAUAACUUUUGUGCUGAUCGCAUGGCCUCUGCGCUGGCGACGUAUCUUUCAAGUGUCUGCCCUAUCAACUUACGAUGGUAGGUGAUAUGCCUACCAUGGUUAUAACGGGUAACGGGGAAUCAGGGUUCGAUUCCGGAGAGGGAGCCUGAGAAACGGCUACCACAUCUAAGGAAGGCAGCAGGCGCGCAAAUUACCCACUCCCGGCACGGGGAGGUAGUGACGAAAAAUAACGAUACGGGACUCUUUUGAGGCCCCGUAAUUGGAAUGAGUACACUUUAAAUCCGUUAACAAGUAUCUAUUGGAGGGCAAGUCUGGUGCCAGCAGCCGCGGUAAUUCCAGCUCCAAUAGCGUAUAUUAAUGUUGCUGCAGUUAAAAAGCUCGUAGUUGGAUCUGAGGACUCGAAUUGGUGGUGCACCAUACGGUGUUACUGCCGAUUCGGCCUACCUAGUCGGUGCUCGCUCUUGGUGUUCUUAAUUGAAUGCCCUGAGUGCCCGGCAAGUUUACUUUGAAAAAAUUAGAGUGCUCAAAGCAGGCCAUUAGCCGGAAUACUUCAGCAUGGAAUAAUGGAAUAGGACUUCGGUUCUAUUUUGUUGGUUUUCGGAACCCGAGGUAAUGAUUAAGAGAGACAGACGGGGGCAUUCGUACUGCGGUGUUAGAGGUGAAAUUCUUGGAUCGCCGCAAGACGAACAACUGCGAAAGCAUUUGCCAAGAAUGUUUUCAUUAAUCAAGAACGAAAGUCAGAGGUUCGAAGACGAUCAGAUACCGUCCUAGUUCUGACCAUAAACGAUGCCAACUGGCGAUCCGAGAUCGUUUGCUUAUUGACCUCUCGGGCAGCCUCCGGGAAACCAAAGUUUUUAGGUUCCGGGGGAAGUAUGGUUGCAAAGCUGGAAUUUCCAGCUUCAAGCUGGAAACUGUUCAAUUGCAACUCUGCCUGUGACACCAAGUGGUCGGGUUACUUGGUCUGUUCUGGCCCGGAGUCGGUAGGGUUUCCGGCCUUGUGCUCUUUCCUUACUGUUCUCUGUAACGCCGAAGGCGGGGCUUCCACGGUGGGGAAGCGGUUGUACAAAUCCGGCAAAUCCAGCCAAAUGGGUUCCGGACUCUGUCCAACCUGCAACUGGUAACAGCCUCGGCUGGCUAACAUUUGAGCUGGGACUCGCUUGGGAGGAGCGAGGAUAAUAUAAACCUCUAUGUGACUGAGGUGAGGAAUCUGGUUCUCGUAAAAUGGCUGGAGAUCCCGAGCCUGUAAGUCAUAAAAUUAGUUCCCCACGAGGGAGGUGUCGAAUUGAAGCCAGUGCGUGCCCUUACUAGUUUAAGGGAUUGUAUACUUCCUUUGGUGUACCCACCUGGAAGUGCCCAAGGGGUCCUAUCCCUGCACUCCAACCCCGAUUGGAGUCAGGUGACGGCUCCUUACCUCACCAGACGCGGCCGGACCCCGGAAGGGGUCUGGGCCCGAAGCCUGACGGCGUCGGGGUGCAGGAAGCCUCUAGGCGACCAGCCCAGCCGUGCAGAAAUGCAGUAGGCCUUUAUCUGGCUAUUAACGGUAAAUUCACCGGGCCAGUGUCUGACCGAGGUUUUGUGGCACCUAACUAGGCAAGAGGGUGGACCAGGCAGGGGCGGUUGUAUCCGAAAGGUCGCCGUCUCCCUCCGUUUUGCCUGGCUCCGCAAGGGGCGUGUCUACGUCUCCUGCUGUGGGACUCGCCGUCUCCUGUUCUCAGUUGACGGGCCAGCAGCCUAACGGCGGCUGGUUGUGGCGACCUACCGGAAGCUACACGAGAGCGGGCCUAAAGGCCCGCCCCGCAGUUGGGGGGCGGAGACCGCCGCCCCCCCAAACCCCCCACGGUACACUAAAGGAAUUGACGGAAGGGCACCACCAGGAGUGGAGCCUGCGGCUUAAUUUGACUCAACACGGAAAACUCACCCGGCCCGGACACUGUUAGGAUUGACAGAUUGAGAGCUCUUUCUUGAUUCGGUGGGUGGUGGUGCAUGGCCGUUCUUAGUUGGUGGAGCGAUUUGUCUGGUUAAUUCCGAUAACGAACGAGACUCUAGCCUGCUAAAUAGUACGCCGAUACCUUUUCGUCGGUGCUGACUUCUUAGAGGGACAAGCGUCUUGAAGACGCACGAGAUUGAGCAAUAACAGGUCUGUGAUGCCCUUAGAUGUUCGGGGCCGCACGCGCGCUACACUGAAGGGGACAGCGAGUUUUUCCUGGUUCGAAAGAACCGGGUAAUCUGUUGAAUUCCCUUCGUGACAGGGAUCGGGGCUUGCAAUUAUUCCCCGUGAACGAGGAAUUCCCAGUAAGCGCAAGUCAUCAGCUUGCGUUGAUUACGUCCCUGCCCUUUGUACACACCGCCCGUCGCUACUACCGAUUGAAUGGUUUAGCAAGGUCCUCGGAUUGGUGCCGACUUGGUGGCAACACUAGGUCGGAUACUGAAAAGAAGAUCAAACUUGAUCAUUUAGAGGAAGUAAAAGUCGUAACAAGGUUUCCGUAGGUGAACCUGCGGAAGGAUCAUUA
rnacentral:rRNA from 1 species